rnacentral:rRNA from 1 species
GACAGAGGGUGCAAACGUUGUUCGGAAUUACUGGGCGUAAAGCGCGUGUAGGCGGCUUUGCAAGUCGGGUGUGAAAGCCCUCAGCUCAACUGAGGAAGUGCGCCCGAAACUGCAGAGCUUGAGUGCCGGAGAGGGUGGCGGAAUUCCCCAAGUAGAGGUGAAAUUCGUAGAUAUGGGGAGGAACACCGGUGGCGAAGGCGGCCACCUGGACGGUUAACUGACGCUGAGACGCGAAAGCGUGGGGAGCAAACAGGAUAG